AUGGGGUGGGGAUGGUUAACGUCUAGCACACGCCAACUGCAUGAACAACUAGCAACACGGAGCUUGGGAAACCCCUUAAAGGGACCAAAGCAGAUAGCCUUGGCGUUGCUGGCCUCCGUCGGCAUAUCAACCAAGCGCGAUGCUUCCACUGACACUACCCACAAGCUAGGCUUUUGCAUGGCCUAUCUUUGUGCUCCCCUCAUCCACGGACGAGGUGAGGAUGGUCAUGACCAUGACCUUGGACUCCAAUGUCACUGCAAGGAUGAAUGGUGGUGUCGACAUGAGCUCUGGCUCGACAAAUGCAGUGUUGGUGCCGAUGGACUUGUACCGCUGAGGACAAACAUUGGGAGAUGGAUUAGGCGGGAGAGGAUACAUAUAUAUUUGCUUUCCUCCAAUAUUUUAGAUAGACUGCAGCUGGAUAAAGAGAGAAGCAAAUAUGGAAACAUAUGGCAUUCACUUUCACACCCUAAGACAGUGGACUAUAUAUACUCCUUUUAG
rnacentral:rRNA from 1 species